GACGAACGCUGGCGGCGUGCUUAACACAUGCAAGUCGAACGGAAAGGCCCUGCUUUUGUGGGGUGCUCGAGUGGCGAACGGGUGAGUAACACGUGAGUAACCUGCCCUUGACUUUGGGAUAACUUCAGGAAACUGGGCUAAUACCGGAUUAGGGCUCCCUCCUGCUUGUGGGGGUUGGGAAGGUUUCGGCGGUUGGGGAUGGACUCGCGGCUUAUCAGCUUGUUGGUGGGGUAGUGGCUUACCAAGGCUUUGGCGGGUAGCCGGCCUGAGAGGGUGACCGGCCACAUUGGGACUGAGAUACGGCCCAGACUCCUACGGGAGGCAGCAGUGGGGAAUAUUGCACAAUGGGCGGAAGCCUGAUGCAGCAACGCCGCGUGCGGGAUGACGGCCUUCGGGUUGUAAACCGCUUUCGCCUGUGACGAAGCGUGAGUGACGGUAAUGGGUAAAGAAGCACCGGCUAACUACGUG
rnacentral:rRNA from 1 species